UGGCUCUUCUCCCUGUUGUGAGUCAGUGAUAAGCAGGAAAGGCUAAACAUCUGCUGUGGUAAGACCAGGCGUGUGUGCUCAGACCUAGUUCUUUCCCUGGGCCGGGUUUCUUAAAUGUUGGUGACAAAC